AGAGUUUGAUCAUGGCUCAGAUUGAACGCUGGCGGCAGGCCUAACACAUGCAAGUCGAACGGUAACAGGAAGCAGCUUGCUGUUUCGCUGACGAGUGGCGGACGGGUGAGUAAUGUCUGGGAAACUGCCUGAUGGAGGGGGAUAACUACUGGAAACGGUAGCUAAUACCGCAUAAUGUCGCAAGACCAAAGAGGGGGACCUUCGGGCCUCUUGCCAUCGGAUGUGCCCAGAUGGGAUUAGCUUGUUGGUGGGGUAACGGCUCACCAAGGCGACGAUCCCUAGCUGGUCUGAGAGGAUGACCAGCCACACUGGAACUGAGACACGGUCCAGACUCCUACGGGAGGCAGCAGUGGGGAAUAUUGCACAAUGGGCGCAAGCCUGAUGCAGCCAUGCCGCGUGUAUGAAGAAGGCCUUCGGGUUGUAAAGUACUUUCAGCGGGGAGGAAGGGAGUAAAGUUAAUACCUUUGCUCAUUGACGUUACCCGCAGAAGAAGCACCGGCUAACUCCGUGCCAGCAGCCGCGGUAAUACGGAGGGUGCAAGCGUUAAUCGGAAUUACUGGGCGUAAAGCGCACGCAGGCGGUUUGUUAAGUCAGAUGUGAAAUCCCCGGGCUCAACCUGGGAACUGCAUCUGAUACUGGCAAGCUUGAGUCUCGUAGAGGGGGGUAGAAUUCCAGGUGUAGCGGUGAAAUGCGUAGAGAUCUGGAGGAAUACCGGUGGCGAAGGCGGCCCCCUGGACGAAGACUGACGCUCAGGUGCGAAAGCGUGGGGAGCAAACAGGAUUAGAUACCCUGGUAGUCCACGCCGUAAACGAUGUCGACUUGGAGGUUGUGCCCUUGAGGCGUGGCUUCCGGAGCUAACGCGUUAAGUCGACCGCCUGGGGAGUACGGCCGCAAGGUUAAAACUCAAAUGAAUUGACGGGGGCCCGCACAAGCGGUGGAGCAUGUGGUUUAAUUCGAUGCAACGCGAAGAACCUUACCUGGUCUUGACAUCCACGGAAGUUUUCAGAGAUGAGAAUGUGCCUUCGGGAACCGUGAGACAGGUGCUGCAUGGCUGUCGUCAGCUCGUGUUGUGAAAUGUUGGGUUAAGUCCCGCAACGAGCGCAACCCUUAUCCUUUGUUGCCAGCGGUCCGGCCGGGAACUCAAAGGAGACUGCCAGUGAUAAACUGGAGGAAGGUGGGGAUGACGUCAAGUCAUCAUGGCCCUUACGACCAGGGCUACACACGUGCUACAAUGGCGCAUACAAAGAGAAGCGACCUCGCGAGAGCAAGCGGACCUCAUAAAGUGCGUCGUAGUCCGGAUUGGAGUCUGCAACUCGACUCCAUGAAGUCGGAAUCGCUAGUAAUCGUGGAUCAGAAUGCCACGGUGAAUACGUUCCCGGGCCUUGUACACACCGCCCGUCACACCAUGGGAGUGGGUUGCAAAAGAAGUAGGUAGCUUAACCUUCGGGAGGGCGCUUACCACUUUGUGAUUCAUGACUGGGGUGAAGUCGUAACAAGGUAACCGUAGGGGAACCUGCGGUUGGAUCACCU
rnacentral:rRNA from 1 species